AUCCUACGGGAGGCAGCAGUGAGGAAUAUUGGUCAAUGGCCGAGAGGCUGAACCAGCCAAGUCGCGUGAGGGAUGACGGCCCUACGGGUUGUAAACCUCUUUUGUCGGGGAGCAAGACCCGCCACGAGUGGCGGAGCGAGAGUACCCGAAGAGAAGGCAUCGGCUAACUCCGUGCCAGCAGCCGCGGUAAUACGGAGGAUGCGAGCGUUAUCCGGAUUUAUUGGGUUUAAAGGGUGCGCAGGCGGACCAUCAAGUCAGCGGUAAAAUAGAGGGGCCCAACCCCAUCCCGCCGUUGAAACUGGCGG
rnacentral:rRNA from 1 species